rnacentral:rRNA from 1 species
GACGAACGCUGGCGGCGUGCCUAAUACAUGCAAGUAGGACGCAGUUGGGAACGGGUGAGUAACGCGUAGGUCACUGCCUAGUAGAGGGGGAUAACUAUUGGAAACGAUAGCUAAUAACGCAUACUAGUAGGUGGACCUGCGUUGUAUUUGCUAGUAGGUUUGGUAAUGGCCUACCUAGGCGACGAUAAAGAGCCGAUCUGAGAGGGUGAACGGCCACAUUGGGACUGAGACACGGCCCAGACUCCUACGGGAGGCAGCAGUAGGGAAUCUUCGGCAAUGGGGGGAAGCCUGACGGAGCAACGCCGCGUGAGUGAAGACGGCUUUCGGAUUGUAAAGCUCUGUUGUUAAGGACGCGGUACCUAACCAGAAAGCGACGGCUAACUACGUGCCAGCAGCCGCGGUAAUUC